AACAGGAUAAAGCUGUGUCUGAAGACAUUUACCCAGAACGGGGCAGCAGCCGGGCACCGAGGGCACCUGGUCACCUGCUGCCAGAGGGCAGGUCAGCUCACCACCUGCCCUGGAUGUUGCGCCCUUCGCUGCUCGAAUGAGUCUCACCUCGCUUCCAAGUGGGUUAUUUUGUGACCGAACCACGGAACGGGGCCUGACUUACGCCUGCUUCCUCCUCCGCCUGCGGCAGCCCCGCCUUCCUGGGGACCUCGUGGAUGGCGGCCCGCGGCGCUGCGCAGGGGUGGCGUGGAUAUGACCUGACUGAGCUCCUUGGAAGAUGGCCCCGGAAGAGCCUCUGUGACAGUGACAGGGUGCACGUCCCUCCCACCCCCGGGGACAGGCCUGGGCUCCGUCGUCCCAAGAGCUUUCCGGCCCCACUCACGCCCGCCUCCUCUCACCCUGCCCCACACUGUCCACGUCCACUUGUCUCCGGCCCAGCUCUGCGUGGACUUGUGUCCCCGGGGCUCUGUCCCUGGAGGUAGACCUGGCCUCACUCAUCCCAUGGGGACUGAGUGAUGGGCUCCUCUGUCCCAGGCCCUCUGCUCAGUGCCACCCGAUGGGAAGAGCUGGUCUUGGCCUUCAGAGGUCACCUUCGGGGGCUGACGGCUGUACUGCAGGGGAGCAGGAGAACUCUGGUCUUCUCAGAGGCUGGGGGCUCCCAGGGGAGGCAGCACUCAACGUGCAACUAGGAACUUUCCAGAUGCACAAACAGGGGCGGGGACAGUGGGGGCCCUUGAACGGGGCAGUGGCCUCAGGGUGCAUUCUGGGAAGACACAUUGUGGGGUUCUCUAAGACUAGACCCACGUUUCUGAAACCCCGAUGGCGGGGGCAGGGACGGAAGUGUCACUCCGAAGCCGCUCUUCCCGGCAGCUGGGGGUAAGGAGGUCACACUCCCGGGCCGAGGCUCACAGUCUGUGAAGGACGGAAGAGUUCGUGCAAAGCGGCACUUUGCUUCUCCUUCCCGUGGCUCCGUGACUUGGCCAGGCUCAGCUGGGCGGUCAGUUCUGUCCAUGGGUUUCUCGUGCAAGUGCAGUCACGUGGUGGCCGAAAGCAGAAGGUCCAAACGGCUUGUCUCUCACCUGCAGCCUGACGGCUCCUAGGUGGCCUCUCUCUCCACAGGGCCUUGCCCACGAGGGCCUCCCCACAUGGCCUCUCCUCACGGGGAUGGUCAGCAGGCUUCAGAGCCUAAUUACCGUGUGGUAGAUCUUGGGUUCAGGCUCAGGUCUGUGUAUGGGACACCCGUGCCAUGUUCUUGACCACUCUGGCUCUUCUCCUCUGGAGGGGCCACGGCCACAUUUAGGGGCCCUGCUGGAGUCACGGUGAGGCCCAUGACUCUGAGAGCUGCUCCCACAGCUGUAUUUCUACUGUGACUCAGAGUCACCCACACGGUGCCUGUAUCAACUACUAUUGCUGUGUAACAAAACCGCCCCCAAACCUAGUGAUCACUUAUUUCUCAGGAGGCUGCGGGCUGGUUGGGCAGUUCUGCUGGCCUGGGCUGGCUUGUGCGUCUGCAGUCACUGCGGGCCAGUCCCGUGGCUUUGCUCUCGUGGCUGGGCUCCCAGGCUCCAGCUGGGCCAGCUUCUCUCUGCUCCACGUGCUCUGUCAUCGGCCGGCAGGAUGGUCAGGCUUGGACCCAUGGUGCACAGGGCUCGGCAGGAGAGCAGAGGACCAGGCUCAGACGGGCACAGCGCCCCUUCCACUGGAUUCUAUCGGCCAAAACUAGUCAAACACCGUGGUCAGGAGUGCCUGCUGACGAAUGGAUACUUCGGGCUUCUGCGGACAGCAUGGCCCCGUUCUUUCUCGUUGGCAGGCUGUGUGAGCAAGGCUUCACCAUAGAAGCCUCUAGAUCAAUCCCCUCGUGGCAGCCAAAAAGAGUGCCCCGUUCUGGAUGUCCAGACGCUAACCUCCCAAACCUGCGGAUUUGUUGUUUGUGGCGAAGGAAUGAAGGUUGUAAGUGGAACGUGGACAGCUGGACAGCAAGGGCAGCCGCUCCCUUCAGAAGGGGCGUCUCCUCGAGGAUGAUCUCUCCACGUGAGGCAGGGUGCUGCCCGUUGCGUUAGCCAUGGCAUUGAAUGGACUUGGAAGGAAGGAAGGAAGGAAGGAAGGAAGGAAGGAAGGCGUGCAUGCAUGUGGAAGGGAAGGAGAACACCAGCGGCAGGGAACGGACAGCUGGGUGUCUGUGGCCUCGCGGCUGCGGGGGUAGAAGGCCCUCCUCCACAGCCCGGGUGCUGGAGAUCGGGGAAGAGAAGCAGAGGCCACUGGCUUCCCACCUCACCCUGCCUGGGGCAGCUUUAGUGCCCCCCCCCCCCCGCCCCGUACCUAGCAGGGACCGAGGAAAGUCCCCCAGGAAAGCCCCCUGAGAGCCAUCAAUGACGGUGUGGCUGUGGUCACAAUGUCAAAAUACACAAAUAAAGAAUAAUUUCAAAACAGA